CCUACGGGUGGCAGCAGUGGGGAAUAUUGGGCAAUGGGCGCAAGCCUGACCCAGCAACGCCGCGUGAAGGAAGAAGGCUUUCGGGUUGUAAACUUCUUUUAAGGGGGAAGAGCAGAAGACGGUACCCAUUGAAUAAGCCACGGCUAACUACGAGCCAGCAGCCGCGGUAAUACGGAGGUGGCAAGGCUUGUCCGGAUUUACUGGGUGUAAAGGGCGUGCAGGCGGAUAGUCAAGUCAGAUGUGACAUCCACGGGCUCAAACAUUGAACUGCAUUUGAAACUGGUUCCCUUGAGUGUCGGAGAGGUAAUCGGAAUUCCUGGUGUAGCGGUGAAAUGCGUAGAUAUAAGGAAGAACACCAGUGGCGAAGGCGGAUUACUGGACGAUAACUGACGGUGAGGCGCGAAAGUGUGGGGAGCAAACAGGAUUAGAUACCCUUGUAGUC
rnacentral:rRNA from 1 species